AAAAACAUUUCUUAUAAAAUUACUAUAAGUAAAUCUGCUCCAUGAUCAUAAAUAGCCGCAGAAUAUUAACUGUGCUAAGGUAGCAUAAUCAUUUACCUUUUAAUUAAAGGUUUGUAUGAAUGACUUUACAAUUAUAUUAUUUUUUUAUCUAUAAUUAUCGAACUUAAAUUAAAAAUAAAAAUGUUUUUAUACAAAAAAAAGACGAUAAGACCCUAUUGAACUUUACUUAAGUUUAGCUGGGGCAGCUAAUUAAUUAUAAUUUUAAUAACUCACUCUUAAAAGAUUUCUAAAAAUCAUUAUUUUUAACAAGUUACCAUAGGGAUAACAGCGUAAUAUAAUUUUAAAGUUCAUAUUGAAAAUCAAGCUUACGACCUCGACGUUGAAUU
rnacentral:rRNA from 1 species